rnacentral:rRNA from 1 species
UACCUGCAAGUCGAACGGUAGCACAGAGGAGCUUGCUCCUUGGGUGACGAGUGGCGGACGGGUGAGUAAUGUCUGGGAAACUGCCCGAUGGAGGGGGAUAACUACUGGAAACGGUAGCUAAUACCGCAUAACGUCGCAAGACCAAAGAGGGGGACCUUCGGGCCUCUUGCCAUCGGAUGUGCCCAGAUGGGAUUAGCUAGUAGGUGGGGUAACGGCUCACCUAGGCGACGAUCCCUAGCUGGUCUGAGAGGAUGACCAGCCACACUGGAACUGAGACACGGUCCAGACUCCUACGGGAGGCAGCAGUGGGGAAUAUUGCACAAUGGGCGCAAGCCUGAUGCAGCCAUGCCGCGUGUAUGAAGAAGGCCUUCGGGUUGUAAAGUACUUUCAGCGAGGAGGAAGGUGUUGAGGUUAAUAACCGCAGCAAUUGACGUUACUCGCAGAAGAAGCACCGGCUAACUCCGUGCCAGCAGCGGGG